rnacentral:rRNA from 1 species
CAUCGCCUCUUGCUCCCUAUAAGAGGUCCAGCCUGCCCAGUGAACUAAUUCAACGGCCGCGGUAACCUAACCGUGCGAAGGUAGCGUAAUCACUUGUCUUCUAAAUAAGGACUAGUAUGAAAGGCAUCACGAGAACUCAACUGUCUCCCUUUUCUAAUCAGUGAACCUAAUCCCCCCGUGAAAAAGCGGGAAUCCACAAAUAAGACGAGAAGACCCUAUGAAGCUUCAAACACUAAUCAACUGCUUACCUCACCACGCUCAGGCCCCCAAUUAAUGCACUAUGAUAAAAUGUUUUUGGUUGGGGUGACCGCGGAAAACAACUUAACCUCCACAAUGAAAUCUUCAAACCACAAGCCACAACUUUAAGUAUCAACAAAUUGACAUCCAUUGACCCAAUAUAUUGAUUAAUGAACCAAGUUACUCUAGGGAUAACAGCGCAAUCCACUUCAAGAGCUCAUAUCGACAAGUGGGCUUACGACCUCGAUGUUGGAUCAGGGUAUCCUAGUGGUGCAGCUACUACUAAAGGUUCGUUUGUUCAACGAUUAAAACCCU